rnacentral:snRNA from 1 species
AUACUUCCCUGGCAGGGGAGAUACCAUGAUCACGAAGGUUUCUCCAAAAGUGGAAAACUCAACAGCAUAAUUUGUAGUAGAGGGAGACUGCAUUCAUGCUCUCCCCUG